AAUAACAUCUAUUAACUACUUUGUUUGGUAAAUUUUGUCAUACUUUGGAUCACCUCUUUUAAUUUCCUCAUAUGUUCUUAUAUUUAUGAUAUGCUAACAUCACCUCAAGUUUAUAAGUUAACUUAAUCUGUAAAUAUUAAACAUCAUUAAACAAUAAAAAAGUAUGUUUUGCAUCCAAUAAGUUUUGUAAUUUUAUUAUUUUUUCAUUGCCAUGUAUAAUAUCAAUGCUAUAAAAGGUGUCAAACUAGUUACACUCAAUUCUUCCUACUUAAGUUAUUCCAAUGUAUUUUCAUGUAUAUCUAUUAGUAUUUUCGAAUACCUAUUUAUUUCUUCUACAAUUGCA
rnacentral:lncRNA from 1 species